AUGAAGGAAAGCAUAAUCUCUAGCAAAACUUCUUGUUUCCUGUCGCUGCUAAGAGAGAUUGGACUCGCUCCUUCUCACAUGGCUUAAGAAGAGCUGUAAACACAGCCUAGCUCGCCAGCUGGCCACAAGCUCAGGGGGCUUUCGGGGACAACCACGGCAUGGUGCUCCCUUUUCCUCCCUUUGACCAGUGUCAUUCCUGUACAAAUAACGGUACCGGAACGCCCUCCACUUCCUAGAGUCAUUUAUGUUAUGGUUCCUCUUUCAAGAAAACAUGGGGAUGAAACGCAAAGUAGAAGAGACUAAAAGCAGAAUGACCGCAGCACCUCGGUUUAUCCCUCACCAUUGUUAUUGUAAGAGAGCUGGAUCAAAUUCCUUUUGUUGCCCUACACACGCACAAACGCACGAAAGUAGGUGAAGGAACGGGCACCCUAAGACAGUUUUGUUCUUUUUUCUCCGCUUCACAGAAAGUCUUUAUGAAAUCCUCAUACCAUCUCCGGACGCAGGACUUCAGCAUUCUGCUAAAGACCUAAACCAUUUCAAGCCAAGGUAAUUCCUGUGUCUCCAAGUUAGUUGCUGGUGUUUUUCACUUAAGAGACGGCUUUGCUCUCAAACCCGUAACUUGCUCAUCCCUGCAGCCCUGGCGAUUUCCUGACGCACAGAAAGCUGCAGGGGACAAAUAGGCCAGUGAGACGCCCACGGAGCGCAAACCGCCAACUGCGCAUGCGCUGGUGAUCCGGGACCGGGUUGGAGAAUAAUUAGCAUAGGUCCUCAGCUGUGCCUUUAGGCCCAGGCUCUGGGACCCUUAGCAAAGUUGGAACAUACACCCAGAACUCAGAGCUGACUGAAGCACUGCAUUCACAUUUCUUACAUCCUUUGGGGACUCCUAACUGGGCCGCUUUUACUCCCACUGCCCCUCAGAACCAAAAACAAUGUUUAAACUAUUCAUGGCAAGAUGCUACCACAUUGAACUCUUACUGUUCUGUAUAAAUGUGGUCGUGGCUCGCCCUUUCCAGAUGUAUCCUUUUAAAUUUUGAA